rnacentral:misc_RNA from 1 species
AAAUGCGAUAAGUAAUGUGAAUUGCAGAAUUCAGUGAAUCAUCGAAUCUUUGAACGCACCUUGCGCUCCUUGGUAUUCCUUGGAGCAUGCCUGUUUGAGUAUCAUGAAAUCUUCAAAGUAAAUCUUUUGUUAACUCAAUUGGUUUCUACUUUGGUAUUGGAGGUCUUUGCAGCUUCACACCUGCUCCUCUUUGUUCAUUAGUUGGAUCUCAGUGUUAUGCUUGGUUCCACUCGGCGUGAUAAGUUAUCUAUCGCUGAGGACACUGUAAAAGGUGGCCAAGGUAAAUGCAGAUGAACCGCUUCUAAUAGUCCAUUGACUUGGACAAUACUUUUAUGAUCUGAUCUCAAAUCAGGUAGGACUACCCGCUGAACUUAAGC